AGAAUGAAGACUUGCUUUAUACAUACAAAUAAUAGGUUGUGCCCUGGUUGAUGCAGUAGCAUGCUCUACUUUAUAUUAAUGUUUUUGCUUUACAGGAAGCCUGAAGCAGAACCCUUUGCUGAAAACUGUCAGUAAGGAAGAGAUGGAGACAGCACUUGGUAAAUGGUUUACAAAUGCAAGCGACAGAGAAGGCAACCGUGCUUUGAGAGCGCAGCGGGACCAUGAUUGCAGGGCAGUACAGCCGGAAGUUGUCAAUAAUGUCCAAAAGAGGGCAGUGUUCUCAUUAUGAACGCUCAAAGAGAGUACAUUUCUUUUCGCGCACGAGACCUCAAUCAUUUCCGGUCUGCAUGCAAGGGAAGCGGGAAAGUCUGUUUUCACCGUGAGAGAUAGAGACUUGUACCAGUCUCGAACAUCAUCUCCAGCAACAAGAAGGAGGACAGCCAUAUCUCCUUGCUGUUUGCAGGAACCGCUACCAGACUGAGCACGUCUACAGAGCUCUUGAGAAGAAUCUCAUCCCCAUACCACAGCUUCUGCUCGGAUCUCAGCAUGCUUCACAGACAUAUUUAAUGGAUGAGUGCUC